rnacentral:tRNA from 1 species
AGCAGUUUAGCUUAAUUGUAGAGUACUCAGCUGGAGUUUUUGAGGGAUAUGGGUUUGAGUCCCAUAGCUGGUU